UUCUCAGCUCUAAAUUUCUCAUCUCUGGUGAUCAGGAUACUCUUUACCUCCUGGUCCAAGUCUGCCUUCCACAUGGGAGAUCCGUGUCCUGCUUUCAGGGGACAGAGGAGGGCCUGGGUGUCCUUGCACUAACUGGCUUUUAAGUAACUUAUUUAAAUAAUCAAUAUGCCCAAGUGGCCCACCUUGGGGUAGCCUGCCCUUGGCCCCAAUCACAGUUUACAAAGAACCUUUACAUAAAUUACAAAAAGAACCCUUGAUCUCCACAUCAGACUUCUGAUAUAGAGAAGGCAGACGGGAUCACACACACUUUUACAGAUGGUGAACCGAGGCUUGGGGAGAGUAGGUGACGUUUUCUGGCACAAGUCUGGUAAUCUGCAAAUGGAAGCCAGCACGGCCCAGCGGUGGGAACAUAGUAGCACCAUGGAAAUUUAGAGAACGGUGUCCUCGGCCAAGGCAGCAGAACUGGCAUGGAGAUUCCUGCACGGCCCUCCUCAAGGCUCCUCACCUCUCCUUUCCUGUCCCCGCACAGAGCAAGCUCUCUCUGUGGCAUCCAGGCCAGCCCCUUGGUGGUCCCUGCCCCUGGGAGCAUCUCCCAGGCAAAUGGCAAAAUAACGGAAACAGAAUUUGGACCCAGAAGCUCCACGCAUGUGCACUGCAAUUAACCCUGAGGCUAAACCACCAGCCUUCCUUUCUCACUCAGAUAUUAAUUUCCUUCCUUCUUCUCUCCUUGGGGAGCUUGGGAACUUGGGUGAAGACAUGCACACAGCUAUCUGUAGCAGACAGGAUGAUGUAAAUGCUUAAAAAUAGACUAAAAAUGGAUGAAAGACCUAAACAUGAGACAAGAAUCCAUCAAAAUCCUAGAGAACACAGGCAGUGUUCUCUGUGACCUCGGUCACAGCAAUUUUUUGCUAGACACAUCUCCAAAGGCAAGGGGAACUAAGGUAAAAGUGAACUUUUGGGACCUCAUCAAGAUAAAAAGCUCUUGCACAGCGCAGGAAACAGUUGACAAAACCAAAAGACAACCUAGAGAAUGAGAGAAGAUAUUUGCAAACAUCUUAUCAGAUAAAGGGCUCACUCAAGGGACGCCUGGGUGGCUCAGUGAUUGAGCGGCUGCCUUCGGCUCAGGGCGUGAUCCUGGAGUCCCGGGAUCGAGUCCCGUGUCGGGCUCCCUGCAUGGAGCCUGCUUCUCCCUCUGCCUGUGUCUCUGCCUCUGUCUCUUUGUGUCUCUUAUCAAUAAAUAAAUAAAAUCUUCCAAAAAAAAAAAAAAGGGCUCACUCAAAAAACAAAAAAUCCAAUGAAGAAAUGGGUAGAAGACAUGAACAGCCAUUUCUCAGAAGAAGACAUGCAAUUAGCCAACAAACACAUGAAAAAAUGCUCAACAUCAGUCAGCAUCAGAGAAGUAUGAAUCAAAACCACAAUAAGAUAUCAUGUCAUACCUGGCAGAGUGGCUAAAAUU
rnacentral:lncRNA from 1 species